AGUGAUUCAUGAACAACUAUCACUAAACAAAAAAAACACAGUAAUUAAUAAUAAAAAACAAUGCAUACAAAAAUUAUAUUUCUACAUGCAUACAGUACAUAUGGAUGAAUUAUAAGAAUUAAAUAUAUAUUUAAUUUAAUAAAACUGAUACAACUGAAGUACAGAAAGUUUAUAAAUACGUAAAAUACAUAAAGAUGCAUCUGUUUUUCACCCCUGAUGCGUCUGCAUCCCUGUUCCAAGAAUAUAUUAUUGUAUUGUUUUCUUCAUUGUCGAUUUAUAUAUUGAAUAACUUGAUAAGCUGCACCUUUUCUCCCAAGGUUAGCACGUUUGAUGCUGCAUCUCUGCAACAUAAAAAUACUUUCACUCGCUUUCUUUUGUCUUCGGUGCCUGAAUUAACCAGAAUUCCCACAGUAACUAAUGUUUGAGCUUUUUUACUUUCAAAACAAACAAGCUUUACUGUCUCUCUGUGUUUUGAUGUGGCUGAUGGUAGUAAAGUUAAAUGUCACCAUCCUUCAUUCAUUAUGGCCUUUAAUCAACUACAGCACAAGAUUUAUAAAGCUGCUGAUGUAUACACGUUCACCUCUGAAGACGAUCAGUCGGUUCUGAAUGAGCACCGCUUCAGAAGCAGCAGAGAGAGACAGACAGAUUCUGUGUUCAUGAAGCACUGAACUGAAGCUCAUUAAGGCCGAUCACAUCAGAAGAAUCCGAAACACUGCAGACGCUUCCAGACAGACAGAUCCUGUUCUUCAAGUCACGCUGUUGCCGUCUGCAGCGCCAAGAGAAAAGAGAGCGAUUGAGAGCAGCCGUCGCUGGAGUCCAGAUCACCUCAAACACACACCGUCUUCAGUCGCUGCGUGGACUGUAAAUCUGUUUUUGUGUAGGCUGAUGUGAAAUAUGAACAAUUCAUUUUACAAUUAUUCACUUCAGCAGAUGCUUUUAUCUAAAACAACUUACAAAUGAAGAACAUCACAAGUAAUUUGUGAGGCUGACGUGCAGAAUAGAAGAGACAAUAAGAUUUUUUAACUUGAACAUUUUUUUAAAUGAAACCAUAUAAUAUUCCAAGUCAUUCAAGAACUCCCUCUUUUCUGAAAA